CCUACGGGAGGCAGCAGUGGGGAAUAUUGCACAAUGGGGGAAACCCUGAUGCAGCGACGCCGCGUGAGUGAAGAAGUAAUUCGUUACGUAAAGCUCUAUCAGCAGGGAAGAAAAUGACGGUACCUGAGUAAGAAGCCCCGGCUAACUACGUGCCAGCAGCCGCGGUAAUACGUAGGGGGCAAGCGUUAUCCGGAUUUACUGGGUGUAAAGGGAGCGUAGGCGGUGCGCCAAGUCUGGAGUGAAAUGCCGCAGCUUAACUGCGGAACUGCUUUGGAAACUGGCGAACUUGAGUGCGGGAGGGGUAAGCGGAAUGCCUAGUGUAGCGGUGAAAUGCGUAGAUAUUAGGAGGAACGCCGAUGGCGAAGGCGGCUUACUGGACCGUAACUGACGUUGAGGCUCGAAAGCGUGGGGAGCGAACAGGAUUAGAUACCCGUGUAGUC
rnacentral:rRNA from 1 species